rnacentral:rRNA from 1 species
UACAGAGGUCUCAAGCGUUGUUCGGAUUCAUUGGGCGUAAAGGGUGUGUAGGUGGCGCCGUAAGUCGGGUGUGAAAUUUCGGAGCUUAACUCCGAAACUGCAUUCGAUACUGCGGUGCUUGAGGACUGGAGAGGAGACUGGAAUUCAUGGUGUAGCAGUGAAAUGCGUAGAGAUCAUGAGGAAGACCAGUGGCGAAGGCGGGGUCUCUGGACAGUCCUGACACUGAGGCACGAAGGCCAGGGGAGCAAAACGGGG